rnacentral:rRNA from 1 species
UACGGGGGGAGCAAGCGUUGUUCGGAUUUACUGGGCGUAAAGGGCGCGUAGGCGGUCAGCACAAGUCAGUUGUGAAAUCUCCGGGCUUAACUCGGAAAGGUCAACUGAUACUGUGCGACUAGAGUGCAGAAGGGGCAACUGGAAUUCUCGGUGUAGCGGUGAAAUGCGUAGAUAUGUGGAGGAAUACCGAUGGCGAAGGCAGCCCCCUGGGAUAACACUGACGCUCAUGCACGAAAGCCAGGGGAGCGAACGGG